UACGGAGGGUGCGAGCGUUGUCCGGAAUCACUGGGCGUAAAGGGCGCGUAGGCGGCCUGGUAAGUAGGGGGUGAAAUCCUGCGGCUUAACCGCAGGGCUGCCUUCUAAACUGUCAGGCUCGAGCACGGUAGAGGCAGAUGGAAUUCCCGGUGUAGCGGUGGAAUGCGUAGAGAUCGGGAAGAACAUCAGUGGCGAAGGCGGCUCUCUGGGACGGUACUGACGCUGAGACGCGAAAGCGUGGGGAGCGAACAGG
rnacentral:rRNA from 1 species